rnacentral:lncRNA from 1 species
CAAAAUCUAGUGUCACAAGUAUGUGGGUAUCUAAUAGAAUAUACAAAAGAAUACUAGUCUACUGUCUGAAAGGAAAAAGACAGAAAAUAUAAUAUAAAGAAGACUCCAGUUGCUGCAAGAUGGCUCAGAAGGCAGCUCACCGUAAAGUCUCGGAAGGGGAAUCAAAUCUACACACCGGAAUGGUGACCAGAUGCACCUGCCUCAAAUCAUGUACAGAAGUUUAGCGUGAGUACAUAAAAAUAUGUACCCAGUAAGAGUCUAGUCUAACCUCGAAGAAGUAGUGACAAGGGGUCAACUCCGACACUUACCAGGGCCAACAAUAUAACAAUAUGAAAUUUCUAAUUAAGCAUAAUAUAUAGAGAAAAUAGUAAACUCAGAACAGGAAAAAUAACUGAACACUUCUAAUCAACAGCACAAUAAAACACUUCCUUUAUUUAAAACAAGUGAUCCCUCAAACAACAAAUUUAUACAAGUUAUAAUUAGUUUCCAGUUCUAGUAUGACAUACGAAUACCACCGAGGAUGUUCUGCCCGAUCCAACAUAAAUAUAAACUGUGCACUGCUGAGGGUCGAAUGACGUGAACCAUAGAUGCAUUUAUUCAUUCCACUCGCAAAUCAUACAUGCGACGUGGUCAAAUAUAAAUUUAAGGAAUUACCCCGCUCGCGGAUCAUACGUGCGAUGCGGUCAAAUGUAAAUUAAAUCAUAACUCUUUCUUGAUUCUUUUUUUAAAAUAAAGGCAAUUCAACUUGAAGCUUUCAAAUCCUUAGAAAAUUCUCAACUUAAUUCCAUUUGUUACAAUUAGCAAGUAUAAUCAAGUAACGGUAUCCACAAAGUAUGGUGUAAACCUAAAACUACCCGUACAUAACAGGAAUAGUAGUUAUGAAUAGACUCUCAUCACUUCGUGCGUUCGUAGCCCCCAUAAAUAAUUACAUAUUAAUUAAGUUCACCUUUAGGGAAAUUUCCCUCUUACAAGGUUAGAAAAGAGACUUUCCUUGUCUCAAAGCCUACUUCCCAAUUCAAGAAUGCGCUCCAACCUCCAAAGUCGAUGCCAAACGACUCGAAACUAGUCAAACAUUGCAUAAACUAAUCAAUUUAUGCUCAAAAGUUCAUAUUUCCACUAUUGAAGUGAUUACCCAACCCAAAUUGCAAAAUUCCAAAAAUUCACCCUGGGCCCACGUGUCCGGAUUUCGGAAAUUUUCGAAGGAAGUUGUUACCCUUAACCCUAGGAACCUAAAUAUAUGAUUUUUACUAAGUUCCAUAACCCUUUUUGUGGUAAAACUCAAUUUUUAUCAAAAUCCUAGAUUUUUCUCUAAACCCAUGAUUUUCACUAAUGCUUACAUGUUAAUCUACCCAUAAUCUAAGUAUUUAACUUACAUAUGGUAGAAAUUACUUACCUCUAAAAUCUAGGUAAAAAUACCCUUUUUGAGAGCUCUCCAAUUGCCCAAGUGUGGAAGAAAAUAAGUCAAAAACGCCUAACUCCCGUAUUAAAUGAAGUGCACUGCCCCAACGAUUUUUGCACAUGAGAUGCGUUGGCCGCAUCUGCGGGUCCCGCUUCUGCGGACGAGGGUCCGCUUCUGCAUAAUUGGCUGGGCCGGCUGGGGUCACUUUCACACCUCCUUUUUACACACCCGAGGGUAUAUAGGGGAGUUUUUCCAAUGUAAGUGACAUUAUUCGAAAUGAGAUUAUUUACUUAUCAGAGUCGCUACUUGGGAUAGUUUAAUUAGUGUCCCAAGUUACCAGUUUAUUUUAAAAUUCCAAAUCAAUGAAAUUCGACUUUUAUUUUUAAAAUAUGCGAACCAGAAAUUCUAAGUAAAGAAUUCUGUUAACCCCGGAGAAGGUGGUAGGCAUUCUCGGGUUUGUGGUUCUAGCACGAUCACUCAAACUAUUAUAAUUGGCCUAUUACCUGAUUUUAAUACAUGUUUUAACCUAUGGUACAAUUUUUAACUUAUUAACCGCUUUUAAUUAUUUUUAGGAAGAUCCAAUGUUAUUUAAAACACGCCUUGAAUCACGCCACAUGAAAUGCACCCGCGGUCCACGACACAUUUUAUUUAACGUUGUUGAGAAUUGAAAUUGGGUCACAUGAAAUGCACAUCCGGACUUAAUAAAUAAAGGAAAAAUCAAUUUAAGAACGUGCCUAAAGAAACUACGAAAUUUCAAAUUAAUAACAAGGUUUGCGAGGGCCAUGAAAAUUUAAUUGAUGGUACACCUCAAUUUUUAAAGAGUUGGUAAUAAUUAUCUGAGGGUCAUGGGUUAUCUAAUUUUUGCUUAUGCCACACCUCAAGUCUAAUUGUUCGGACGAAUUCUUAGUUUAGAAUUAUAAGGGCCAUAAACUAUUGGUGUUAUUUAAUAUGGCACACCUCAACCUAAGUAAAAGAAUUAUCUUAAAACAACGUAAUUGAAACUAUUGUUUGUACAACUACUAGUUACCUGGGAGUGUUGGGCUUCUGGGCUAAAUUCAGCCCAAGAGGAUGAACGGGUAGGGAAGUCCAGAUUAUUGAGUCCUUUCACCGACUGGGCUAGCAUUAGGCCCAACUCUCAGAACAAAAUUUAUACAAAGUCAUUUAAACACAUAUCAACUAAGGGUUUAUGAGAUCUGAAAUUGAAUUAACAUUUUAAAGAUUAAUUUAUGUUAAAAUCCUUUUCUUGUUGAACCAAGCAAACUCUCUUAAGAGAAUGAGCAUAUACUGAAGGCCAUGGGGCCCCAGGUCGAGCUCUCGAUAGAGCCAAACCUUAUGGCUAUGGACUGAUUUCUCGGGGCCUCACGUUAAGCCCAACAGUCCUUGAAACUUUGAACUUUAGCACAUAUUGGGAAAAACAGUAGCAUGUGGAGCAUUAAACACUUAACUAUUGAAACUACACAACCUGCCUUUAAUAAAAAUACAAAAGCAUGUUUCUUCUCGUUUUCAAAACAAAACAGAACCCUUCAUGUUCAAAGAACACACAAACCAUAUGUAUUUAAAAAUCAGAACUACUACUAAUCAUCGUUGAACUCACACACUUAGUGAAUCUAACAGUAGAGUAUUCUAACCAUUCAAAUUAGAUAUCAAAAAUGCAACAGCAUGUUACUGAAUUUGUUCAUCUACCAAACCAACAUCUAAAAGAGGUAAAAACCACAAACUAAUUAACUGUAACCUUGUAGUAACUAACAGCUUGAACCAAUACGAUCAAAACCCUAACAAAGGGAGUCUUUCAUCUCACCAAGGACUAUCUUAUGACAGUCCACACCAAACACAUGACAGAAAGAUUCAAUCCCCAAAUAAAAUCAAAAUGACAAAACCUAAAGUCUAGAUACAAACUGAAUACACAUUUUAAUAUUCAUGGCAUAAGUAAAUACAAUGAAUGAUGUAAUGAAACAUAAACUGAUGCAUAACUAAGACAAGUUUAGUAAUACACAUAGGUAUUCAGCCAGACUAAGAUCUACAUCUCCAACAAUGCUUGAGAUUCAAACUUCAUAUAUUGAUAAAAGGUCCAAAGAGGUACCUGGUUACAGCAACAAAAUAACAAAAAAAUGAGCUUGAGAUUAAGAAAAGGACAGCAACAGUGUAUCAGCAAACAGCAGCACAACCCACAGUCAGUUUUAUACCAUUUUUGAACCCAGAUUAACAUAAUUCUUUCGCGUUAUCAAUAGAAUCUGACUAACAGAGUAAGUCUAAGAGCCAAACCAAACAAAUUUCAAGCAAACUUCAAUAUUUUCAGAAUCUCAAAAAUGCUCCAGCCAUUUCUAAGUUUUUCAACCUUUUUAAUCUCUAAUCUCUCAAAUGAAAGAGAAGGGCAACGAGCCUCUUAUAUAGGACCUCUAGGGGAGCAGAAAUGAUUCUAUUAUUUUCCAAUUGCCCCUUUCCCAAUUUUCAUUUUUUAAGUUAAAUCCCUGAAUUUUUAGCCUGCUUGCUAAGUUAAUCCCAAAUCCCACCUUCCAGGUAGCUUCCUAAUCAGUUAUACAAGAUUCCCCUAAACUAAAAACCCUAAACUAUCCUUUAGGCUUAUGCUAUUUACAUUCAAGACCACAUAUGGAUCGGGUUGACCCCAAGACCCAAAGCCUGGCUUGCAAGACCCGGACUGACCCUCCUCUUUGGGCCUCUAUUGACAGAGCCCAAAUUGAUUCCAGAAACCAACAAAAACCCAAGGAAAUGGCCAAUCAGAGUUAUAUGAACUCCUAGAACCAAGGAUUCCAAAUAAAUCAAAAAUAGGAGGGAAACUUGAGCGAAACCAAACGAUGCUGACUAAAAGAAAAAUAAUCUAAAAUUAACAAGCAUGAUUUGAGAAACAGAAAAAUAAGAAAGAAAAAGGAAAGAAUCAGACGAAGCUGAGAAUGAAAUUCAAACAAAAAACAAAGGACCUGAAAUACCUGAAAGAGACAGAAAGAUGAUGGGUUUGAGCGGACUAUUCGGCGCUUUCGAUUUGAACCAAAAAUGAGUGUUAGUCGGGAUGUUCUGGUGAGAACAACCAUCUAACACUUGUUUCAAGUCAAAAUCUCUUCCACGCUUUGGAGAAAAUCAAACCAGGCCUUUUGCAUGAGGAAUCAAAGGUGGGAACGAAUCUAGGGUGCCAUUUAAGAUCUGAAAUUGGAGAAAAAAUAGAGGGGACUUUGGGGAAAUUGACGGUGGUUUAGUGUUUGAGGGAUUAUGGGGACUGUGUGGUGACGUUUUGGGAGGAUUUAGAGGUCAAACGCCAGUGGGGAAUGGCAGAAUUUGGAGGCGGCGUUAGGGCUUGGACGAAGGAGGUAAGAGAGACAGAAGAGGGGUGUUUGGCUUAAGUUGUCUUUAGGGCUUUCGGACAGUUAUAAGCAAAUAUGGGGUAAGUGGUCU